AGCAAACUUGUUUUUCCAGUCAAUGUUCUUCCAUUUUCAUCAUAAUGUUGAUUUUGGAUCACCUCACAGGAAGAAUCCUUUAGUAAUGCAGUCUCCUUCCACCCAAUGAAUAAAUCUGUCAGUAAAGAAUGACCUGAACAAAUACUAGUCUGGGUUACGAUUCAACCAAUCCUCAUUAUGUUUGAGCUGUGAUUGAAUCGGCACAGCCUAAAUGCAAUACCCUCUCCUUGCAGUGUUGGAA